UACAUGGGGUGCAAACGUUGCUCGGAAUCAUUGGGCGUAAAGCGCGCGUAGGCGGUUACUUAAGUCGAAUGUGAAAGCCCUCGGCUUAACUGAGGAAGUGCAUCCGAAACUGAGUAGCUAGAGUACGAAAGAGGGUCGCGGAAUUCCCGGUGUAGAGGUGAAAUUCGUAGAUAUCGGGAGGAACACCGGUGGCGAAGGCGGUUCUCUGGGCCUUACCUGACACUGAGGAGCGAAAGCGUGGGGAGCGAACAGG
rnacentral:rRNA from 1 species